UGUGGAUCAGUUUAGUGAACUCAUUAUCUAAUGAGUAUCUACAUCCUUGUAUUAGUAUCACCAUAUAAGUGAUUAUGAGAUUAAUCAUCCUCUCCAUCAAGCAUACAUAGGAUGUAUCAGUCUUAUCGAUAUCAUCGAUCUCCGACUCGAUGAUCUAAUGACUGAGAAUAUUUUAGAUUGGGACUAUCAAGAUUUUAGAUUUCACUAAUAUGAUCUCAUUAUGAUCCUAAAAUGAUUAUCCUAAUCUAUGAG
rnacentral:lncRNA from 1 species